CUUUUGUUAUUGCUUCUUGAUAGUUUUCAAUACGUAGAAUCCGAAAAUGCAACUCUUAGCUUUAGGAAUCCAACGGCACAAAAGUUAUAACUAUAUAAAGUUGAGCAUUUUUAUCGUAUUUGACAGCUUACUUUGACGCCAUAUUGGCUUUUAUUCACGAUUCGUCCAAUGAGUGGAAUCGCUGGCUGUAACAAAUGCACCUGGGAAGUAGCCACUUAAGCGGGAUAAGACAAAUAUCUUUUUAGAGGGAUAUGCCCAUAAAACAGUAAAUUAAAACAUAGAAUUUGUAGGUAAGUAUUGAAUUAUGUUGAGGAUAGCUAUAAAAUUGCAGUGACUGCAAGGCGGCCAGCUAUAUUCACAUGUUAAUUUUCGGCAAAGUUCAUCUAUAUUACGUGUUAAUUACAGCCAGCAACGGUAUCCACAGUCAUAAAAUAAAAGCUCAAAAAAUAAAAAACUAAAUGUGUAUGAAUGAGUGUCCAUUUUUGUGCGGCCCAAUCGGUGAUAGAUGGAAGCAAUAUGACGACAAAGCAAGUUGUCAAAUAUGCCAAAAAACGCUUAACUUUAUACAUGCAUAAUUUUUGAAAUGCUGAAUUCUUAAAAUUAAGACUUGCAUUUUCAGAUUCUACACAUUGAAACUACAUAUUGAAAACUGCCAGAUAGUGAUAAAAAAGAAAACAAUAAUUUAAGAUAUAUAAGAACAAUUAAGACAAAGUUUAACCCGUGAUUUUAUAGCUAGAUGAUGACUAACAAUUCUCAAUGAAAUAGAAAUAUUUAGAAAAACAAUUGAAUUAAAAUGAUAUUUCUUGCAAAAAUAAAUCGAAAUUUUCCCGCAAGAAUUGGAUCCGUUAGGUUAACACUUUGACUGCCACGUUGAUCAUAUAUGACUAACUGUGACGCCACGGUGGUCAUUGGUGACCGGAGCGCUUAAACUUCUUACAAUUGUAAAAAUUGAAUGAAAAUCGACAGUUGGGGCAUUUUGAAUAUAACCGAUAAAUAGAAGAUACUUUGAAAUAAAAAGUGCCCCAUUGAACAAUUAAACAUUUUUAUUAGAACAUCAAUAAAAAAAAGAUGAGAACAAAUCUUGCAUCUAACGGUGCACUGUUUGCAUCCAUAUCUUUGAGGGGUACUCUAUGAUUAUUAUUAUUAUAAACACACCUUAGAAAAUAAUCGUAAAUGCUGCUUUAUAAUUAUAUAAUUGAAGUUAGAAGUGUGAAGAUACCUUACUAUAUAUAUAGAAUGAGCAAAUGCUAUUUUCUAAUAUCUUCUACACGUUUCAACAAUAUAUUUUGGACGUUUUGGUUACGACGAAAUAACGAAUGCAAAUGGUUUGUUGAAAUAAACAAAGCCUUGUUAUAAUAUAUCACUAUCAACUGUUACACACCACGAUGGUCACCCAUGAUCACCAAUAAGAUAAAUGGUCCAUUGGAGAAGAAUGUUGUCUUAAAUCAUCAAUUUAUUAUUAUUUUGUCAUUGUAUGCUUUGAAUAAUAAAAAUACUCCAGUGGCGUACUGAGCGAAACAUGUGAUUUCGGCGUGGCAGUCAAAGUGUUAAGAUGUACACAAGUUUACAAUUCCUGUACCCUGGUGGCUUGAUGUUACAAAUAUAUCUAAUGUCUAAUUAAAAAAUGCAUUAUUUUUUUAAUAAAAAAAUUUUGUUUAGUACUUGAAUAUAAAAUAAAGCACCCUUAAAAUUGUGGAAA